rnacentral:snRNA from 1 species
AAAGGCAAGUACAAAUUGAAAUU